CGUAUCACCCAAGACAACUUUACGGAGUUGACGAUUGACGGAGCGAAGCGACGUCAAAGCGUUCAUUAAAGUCGAGUUGGCUUAGGGAUACGUUCGUUGGGUAGGGGAGCGUUCUGUAAGCCUGUGAAGGUGUGUCGUGAGGCAUGCUGGAGGUAUCAGAAGUGCGAAUGCUGACAUAAGUAACGAUAAAGCGGGUGAAAAGCCCGCUCGCCGGAAGACCAAGGGUUCCUGUCCAACGUUAAUCGGGGCAGGGUGAGUCGACCCCUAAGGCGAGGCCGAAAGGCGUAGUCGAUGGGAAACGGGUUAAUAUUCCCGUACUUGGUGUUACUGCGAAGGGGGGACGGAGAAGGCUAUGUUGGCCGGGCGACGGUUGUCCCGGUUUAAGCGUGUAGGUGUGUGUUCCAGGUAAAUCCGGUUCACUUUAACACUGAGGCGUGACGACGAGGCACUACGGUGCUGAAGCAACAAAUGCCCUGCUUCCAGGAAAAGCCUCUAAGCAUCAGGUAACAUCAAAUCGUACCCCAAACCGACACAGGUGGUCAGGUAGAGAAUACCAAGGCGCUUGAGAGAACUCGGGUGAAGGAACUAGGCAAAAUGGUGCCGUAACUUCGGGAGAAGGCACGCUGACACGUAGGUGAAGUGAUUUACUCAUGGAGCUGAAGUCAGUCGAAGAUACCAGCUGGCUGCAACUGUUUAUUAAAAACACAGCACUGUGCAAACACGAAAGUGGACGUAUACGGUGUGACGCCUGCCCGGUGCCGGAAGGUUAAUUGAUGGGGUCAGCG
rnacentral:rRNA from 2 species